CCUCGGCCUCCCUGCAGGCGCCGGGCGAAAGCCCCCAAUCCCUCCCCUCAAGCGACUCGCCCACCCAGGCCACAUCGAUUCUUUAAUCACCGCCGAUCGAUUUAUUGGGAGCAAAUAAAUAGACCGUUUUGGAAACGUUUCAAUUGCUGGCUUGACGGUUGGGGCGCUGACGCGGGAGGGCGGGCAGGGCCGUGGGGCGCGCGCGGGAAGGGACUUGUGGGAAGGAAGGGAGCGGAAAGGCCGAGCGCCACCCGCCCCGGGAGUCUCCAGAGCAGCGCGCGGGGCAGACCUCCUCGGGUCCUCCGGCGCUUCGGUCUCCGGAGACGCCCGGCCUCCUGAAGGGUUCGGCUUGUCCUCCUCUGGCGCUCAGCUCCCUCUGGCGGCCGGGCUGGCAGGACCUCAGCGCCCAGCCCUUCCGUCUUGUUACGUCCAGGGUCUCACUCUGUGUCUCAGGCUGGAGUACAGUGGUGCAAUUGUAGAUGGCUGCAGCCCUCGACCUCCUGGGCUCAAGUGAUCCUCCUGCCUUAGCCUCUCGAGUAGCUGGGAGUACAGAUGCACACCACCACACCCAGCCUAGAAUGAAGAAACCUGCAGUUGGGAAGCAUGAAUUUACCACCUAUUAAGGCACUGGUUUACUGAGACAAUUCAAAACACACAUUCAUUUUGUGUGCUUAUGAAAUAUAUCCCAAGAUCCCCUUUUAUUUUUCAGAAUUGUGGCUUGCAUUGUAAGAGGAGCCUGUGAAUUCAGAGGCAAGUCUGCUGAGGACCGAAUGUUCCUGUCCAUAAAAACAGAAGUCUGGCCUGGGCUCCUCUCUUGGGUGAAUUUGCAAUGCCAGAUCCUCUCUAUCAGUUUGGUUUUGUUUCUUGUAUCUCUGGGAAGGCAGGCAGACAGCACGGUCACCUGUGAAUGCAGCUACAAUUGGCUUAGCUGCCUCACUGAUAAAUGUGCCCCCAGUAAGCUACAAAGGGAUUACCAGCGUUCUCAGCAGCUAAAGGAACUGGUGAAGAUUUCCCCAGCAAAAAGUAGAAGCUCAGUGUUUCAUAGAUGAAGACUGGGGAGAUUGCAAAAGACCCAUCCAGCAGUGGUUCUCAGACCUCAGUGUGCAUCAGAAUCACCUGGAAGGCUUGUGAAAACACGUAUUGCUGGGCCACACCCCCAGAAUUUCUGGAUCAGUAAAGCUGGGAUUCUUACUUUGAGUAGCCAACUUGCAGAAUACAAUAGAAUUUUGGGAGGAGCCCCUCGAUGCCUGGCUUUACUGUUGGAGAGACAGUACAGUAUACACCAGAUGACUUAUUUGUGAACCAUGGAAACGUUUGGAAAAGAGUCUCACUUUGUCGCCCAGGCUGGAGUACAGUGGUGCGAUCUUGGCUCUCUGCAACCUCUGCCUCCCAGGUUCAAGUAAUUCUCCUGCCUCAGCCUCCCGAGUAGCUGGUACUACAGGCACACAUUUGUAGAGAUGGUGUUUCCCCAUGUCAUCCAGGCUGGUCUGGAACUCCUGGGAUCAAGUAAUCCACCCGCCUCGGCCUCCCAAAGUGCUGGGAUUACAGACGUGAGCCACCACGCCCUGCCAAUAAAAAGAUUAUCUCCAGAUGCUGGAAUGACCAGUAAUUUAUUUUCUUCCUUUUUUUUUGUCUGCACUUUCUACCAUAAUCAUAUGUUAGCUUCUUACUAAGAAGAAAAGUCAAUGUUAUUUCCCUGAAAAAGUAAUGUUGUUUGGUUAUUAAACAAAUUUAAUUUUCUAAACAAGAGUACGACAGGUAAACUGCCUACCUUAAAAGCAAACGAACACAAAUAAAUAAACUAACCAUCUUCCACUUCAGUCUCUGUCCUUUCACCAGAGUUGCUGAUCAGCCCAGAAUGGACUGAUUUGAAUUUGCUUAGUUGUUCAUUCAUUCAUUUAUUUAACAAGUAUUUAUUAAGCACUUGCUCUGUAGAAAGCACUGUGCUGGUAUUGGAAUACUGG
rnacentral:lncRNA from 1 species